UCGAGAUCGAACGUCUGAUCGUAAUGAAAAAGAAAGACGACGUUUCGAUCGGAACCGCGACAAUGGUUCAAAUGAUCAGUGAUGACCUUUAGGGCAUCGCUGAUGUGCUAGUUACGGCCAUCAGUCGGCAGCACGAGAAUGGUGAUAAAGAGGAUCAAGGCGAUCCGAAAUAUGGGGAGUUACGGAGGUCAUCCGGCCCUCGAAGCAGGAAGAGUAACGGCGCUAACCGGCCUUCCUCAUUACAUUUAAAACGUCACUUUUAGAGUGUAGUUGCGGCCUACUGAGUCGGCACACUCUUGCGGAAUGACAGAAGCCACAAGGGUGAAAAAGAGAAAGAGUUCAAGAAAAUAGGAGUAAAACUUUCAGAUGUUGAGGUUACGGCGAUAACCGGCCUCAGAAGAAAGAGGAGUUACGGCGUUAACCGGCCCUCGAACCUGGUAAGGAAAAGAAGUGCGCGUCAAUUUGCACUACACGGAAAAGAAAAGGAUGUGCGACCGAAGAAAAUGAAAAAGAAUGAUGACCUUUACAAGGGAGGCAAGCAGAAUUGCUUGAAAGCUGAAAAUUGGCUAAGUUCCUCCAUGACCUUUAAUAUUGAACUCAUGAUGAAGAAAUGUAUGACCUUUUGGGAUCGCCACGGCCCAAAUGAGUCGCAUAUCAAAGAGAAAGGGAUGACCUUUGAGAACUUCACUGCUCAACGAGUCAUCAAUCCAAGUUAAAAAGAAUGACCUUACCAGGGAGGAAGCAUUAAGCUUGUCUUUCAAGACGUCCCUCCACGUCCAAGAGGAAGAAUCUCAUUUUGCAGAAGUCGUACUUGAUACGCAUUUAUUCCAAAGAUGAAGAAGCAGUAUUCAGAAGUCGUACUUGAUACGCACCUAUUCCUUAAAGCGGAUCUCAUUUGUGAUGAAAAAGAUUGCUCAAAAAGAGCGGAAUGGACCAAAAGCGGAUUACGGUUGACAGGACCCAGUGACCUUUAGGAGUCGGAGGAUCCUAGUCGUUUUGAUAAUGAAUUCUGUUGAUAUUUUUACUGUUUUUACUUUUGUUUCGAGAUCUCUUUAUUCACACAUGUAAUUGGAAUUUGUGAUGUUAAAGGGAGAUUAAAUCUCGAUGUUUUAUUAAACACACAGACGAGCCGUCAAGGAUCCCAAGGAAUUGGAUGUGGAUUUGCUUCGACGGAGCUCAGCCUCCCUCCCAGAGGCAUGUGAGCGCAGGCGUACAUGCGUACACCCUCGCUUGGCAGUCUGUUGUGUGUUCAUUGCGCGCCCGCCUUACGCGUGGCGAAAGCAUGGUGUUCUGCGCGCACCCGCACUGUGUGGCGGCUACGUGCGCAUUUUCCUCGCUUGCUGCAGUCAGCAAUGCGAAGUUGUCGAAGAGGAAAUUCUAUCGAAUUUAGUCUUGUCAUAAAUUCCUAGCAGUCACGCCAUUUCUCGCUUUCUAUAGCGUAGGCGCUUUUAUAGCAUUGCUAGGCUUUUUGGUAGGCAGAAUUCCGUCAAUUCUGUUCCUACGCGUGAACCUUCACCAGGUCCACGCUCAUAAACUUAUUCCAUAAUAACAGUGCAGGCAGCGUGGAAAAUUGUGGAUUUUCUGAAUGACAUUGAUGACAUCGAUGCAGUCCAUGAGGAGGUUGUCUGUAGAACCUACUCAGGAAAGCAACAGCUCCAAGGAGUUAUUCAUAAAUUUCGACGAGAAAUCGAAGAAAACAAGCAAAACCUGUCGCUAUCGGCUUGCGGUUUUUUCCUGGUCGACAAGGAACACAUUAUGCAUCUGACCGGAAUUUACAUCACUUGUGCACUGUUCUUCUAUCAGCGACGGGAUGAACAAAAAGAUGUCUUAGUUCUGCAGAAAAUUUUAACUUCGGAAGUUAUCGGCAAAAUCAACCGGAUAGAACAAUUUUUCAGCAACUGGAGCUCGGGUGCACUUCCCUGAUCCCGAAAGGUUAUGAUAACGAUUAUUAGAGCAUUUCUAGCUUCUGCAGUAUUUUAUGCUAGGCUUGUGUUUUAAUUUUUGGCUGAAUCAACAUUUCUCUUUGGAAUGCGCUGUUUUUCUCUUGUUUUUUUCUCUGUACGCACUGUCACAAAAUUAUGGCAGCUGCCAGCUGGUGUGAAUAUCAUCUCGUUUAAAGCUGGAAAAAUAUAUUGCUAUAAUGUUAAAUUGAAUGCAUUACACUGCUAUAAUUAAAGCACAACUCGCGGUUCCAAGUCCUGCAUUUUUUCUUU